CAGAAAGAUGCUUAUUAUUAUUUUUAGACGUCACCGGAUUGACUUAUUUGUUUUUGUUUUGUUCAGUGAUAUAUAUCCUAUUUUUUUCUGGAAGAGGCGGCGCACUCUGAAGAUUGAUCUGACUGGAAUAGUGGUCUGACUGGAAUAGUGGUCUGACUGGAAUAGUGGUCUGACUGGACCAGUGGUCUGACUGGACCAGUGGUCUGACUGGACCAGUGGUCUGACUGGACCAGUGGUCUGACUGGACCAGUGGUCUGACCGGACCAGUGAUCUGACCGGACCAGUGGUCUGACUGGACCAGUGGUCUGACUGGAAUAGUGGUCUGACCGGACCAGUGGUCUGACCGGACCAGUGGUCUGACCGGACCAGUGGUCUGACCGGACUAGUGGUCUGACCGGGGAUUUGACCGCCCGCUCUGUGUGAUCAGAUGUAUAGGAGGAACGAUGUAUAUCUCAGCGUGAUAUUGUUUAACGCGGUAUGUAAAGUGUCAGUCGGUUCCUCUUUACUGCACUGUGGAACCGGGGGCGGCGCUCUCUUGUGAUUGGUCGACUUUCUUGAAUGCGUCUGGAUUUAUUUCCCGACUGAGGAGGGAACCGUAACUCCCGGUUCCUCCGGAGAACCCGCCCCCACAGGUUCUGCGGAGGCGGGCAUCACAAUGUGGGUGAGCGGUUCCUGGCAGAUGUCGGUCUCCAUGGCGACCAGGGCGCACGUGGAAGUCUAAACAUGUGGUCUAGUGGUCGGCCCUUUACUGACGCAGAGACCAGUGGGGAGAAAGAGGAUUUAAAUGAAAUGCAGUCCACACCUUUUGCUUUGUAUAACUGGAACCUCCUUUUGUAUUAUUUUAUAUAAUUCUUUGAUAUUGUGGUUGUAAUCUUCCUUGUGCCAUUGGUCCACCUGAAAUCCAACCACCAAUAAAAAAUAAACGGGAUUUGGAAAACUACGAGUUGUCCUGGUCUCCUUUCUGAUGCUUUCGGCUUUUUAGUCUCAUCUCUGUUCUCUCGUCUCUCCUGCGUUCUGCGAUCACAACAUUCAGCUCCUCGUCAUCCCGGCCACGGCGGCACUGCGCAGCUCAAACACCAACCCGUGC
ensembl:lncRNA